rnacentral:tRNA from 2 species
GCCCGAGUGGCGGAAUAGGUAGACGCUAGGGACUUAAAAUCCCUUGACUGUAAUGGUCGUGCUGGUUCAAGUCCAGUUUCGGGCACCA